UCCCAGGUGGCUCUGUAGUAGAGAAUCUGCCUGCCAAGCAGGAGACCCAGAUCUGAUCCCUGGAUUGGGAA
rfam:TPA: Bos taurus chromosome 14, whole genome shotgun sequence.